UCUUUUUUAUCUAGGUGCGAUUGGUCACCUAAGGAAUCUGUCAUUUUAGGGAACACCUAAGUUUAAGGGUCCCUAGAAGAAUAGGUUCAGGUCUGCUAACCAGAACAAGGUUCGGGAGUUCGGUUACGUGUGAGGAAGGUUAUAGCACCCUCACAACGCCCAUCAAAAGAUGGUACCAGCUUGAAUUUGUGUUAUCCAAAAGCCUUAAAAUUUUACCAAGUAAUUAAUUAUUGGAAACUUUUCUCAAUUAACUCUAAUACUUUUAGCAGAAAAUUGAGAAAAUUUCCUCACCUCAAGAGUAUGCAAGAAAAACUACUGUUUCACUUACAGAGGCUCCGUCGUCGGAUUAUUUAAAAAAACAAAAUCAAAAUUAAGAUAGAAAGGAAGGAAAGAAUGAUUUUUUUUUUUUUUUUAGGGAAAAUUGAUACUUUCAACUUUUCCCUAA
rnacentral:lncRNA from 1 species